GACGAACGCUGGCGGCGUGCUUAACACAUGCAAGUCGAACGGAAAGGCCCUGCUUUUGUGGGGUGCUCGAGUGGCGAACGGGUGAGUAACACGUGAGUAACCUGCCCUUGACUUUGGGAUAACUUCAGGAAACUGGGGCUAAUACCGGAUAGGAGCUCCUGCUGCAUGGUGGGGGUUGGAAAGUUUCGGCGGUUGGGGAUGGACUCGCGGCUUAUCAGCUUGUUGGUGGGGUAGUGGCUUACCAAGGCUUUGACGGGUAGCCGGCCUGAGAGGGUGACCGGCCACAUUGGGACUGAGAUACGGCCCAGACUCCUACGGGAGGCAGCAGUGGGGAAUAUUGCACAAUGGGCGGAAGCCUGAUGCAGCAACGCCGCGUGCGGGAUGACGGCCUUCGGGUUGUAAACCGCUUUCGCCUGUGACGAAGCGUGAGUGACGGUAAUGGGUAAAGAAGCACCGGCUAACUACGUGCCAGCAGCCGCGGUGAUGCGUAGGGUGCGAGCGUUGUCCGGAUUUAUUGGGCGUAAAGGGCUCGUAGGUGGUUGAUCGCGUCGGAAGUGUAAUCUUGGGGCUUAACCCUGAGCGUGCUUUCGAUACGGGUUGACUUGAGGAAGGUAGGGGAGAAUGGAAUUCCUGGUGGAGCGGUGGAAUGCGCAGAUAUCAGGAGGAACACCAGUGGCGAAGGCGGUUCUCUGGGCCUUUCCUGACGCUGAGGAGCGAAAGCGUGGGGAGCGAACAGGCUUAGAUACCCUAGUAGUCCACGCUGUAAACGGUGGGUACUAGGUGUGGGGUCCAUUCCACGGGUUCCGUGCCGUAGCUAACGCUUUAAGUACCCCGCCUGGGGAGUACGGCCGCAAGGCUAAAACUCAAAGGAAUUGACGGGGCCCCGCACAAGCGGCGGAGCAUGCGGAUUAAUUCGAUGCAACGCGUAGAACCUUACCUGGGUUUGACAUGGAUCGGGAGUGCUCAGAGAUGGGUGUGCCUCUUUUGGGGUCGGUUCACAGGUGGUGCAUGGCUGUCGUCAGCUCGUGUCGUGAGAUGUUGGGUUAAGUCCCGCAACGAGCGCAACCCUUGUUCACUGUUGCCAGCACGUUAUGGUGGGGACUCAGUGGAGACCGCCGGGGUCAACUCGGAGGAAGGUGGGGAUGACGUCAAGUCAUCAUGCCCCUUAUGUCCAGGGCUUCACGCAUGCUACAAUGGCUGGUACAGAGAGUGGCGAGCCUGUGAGGGUGAGCGAAUCUCGGAAAGCCAGUCUCAGUUCGGAUUGGGGUCUGCAACUCGACCUCAUGAAGUCGGAGUCGCUAGUAAUCGCAGAUCAGCAACGCUGCGGUGAAUACGUUCCCGGGGCU
rnacentral:rRNA from 1 species